UACGGAGGGUGCAAGCGUUAUCCGGAUUCACUGGGUUUAAAGGGUGCGUAGGAGGGCAGGUAAGUCAGUGGUGAAAUCUCCAAGCUUAACUUGGAAACUGCCGUUGAUACUACCUGUCUUGAAUACCGUGGAGGUGAGCGGAAUAUGUCAUGUAGCGGUGAAAUGCUUAGAUAUGACAUAGAACACCAAUUGCGAAGGCAGCUCGCUACACGAAUAUUGACUCUGAGGCACGAAAGCGUGGGGAUCAAACAGG
rnacentral:rRNA from 1 species